rnacentral:rRNA from 1 species
GACGAACGCUGGCGGCGUGCUUAACACAUGCAAGUCGAACGGAAAGGCCUGCUUUCCCUUGUGGAUUGCGGGUACUCGAGUGGCGAACGGGCGAGUAACACGUGAGUGAUCUGCCCCCAACUUGGGUAUAAGCCUGGGAAACUGGGUCUAAUUCCCGAUAGGACUGCAGGGUGGUGCCUGUGGUGGAAAACGAUUUUCUAGUGGUUGGGGAUGAGCUCGCGGCCUAUCAGCUUGUUGGUGGGGUAAUGGCCUACCAAGGCGGCGACGGGUAGCCGGCCUGGGAGGGUGGACGGCCACAUUGGGACUGAGAUACGGCCCAGACUCCUACGGGAGGCAGCAGUGGGGAAUAUUGCACAAUGGGCGGAAGCCUGAUGCAGCGACGCCGCGUGGGGGAUGACGGCCUUCGGGUUGUAAACUCCUUUCGACCGCGAGGAAGCCACCUGGUUGGAAGGGUGGUGACGGUAGUGGUAGAAGAAGCACCGGCUAACUACGUG